GUGCUCCAUUGCAGUGCCCUCUAUGGCAGCCACCCCUGGGGUGACUGGGGUAGUAGGAAGUGCCUGGUCAUAGCACCCUCAGUGAUGUCUGUUCACUCCCACCUCUGGAAUCCAAGAUGGCUGUGGCAGUUUACACCUGCCCCCAGGGCAUGUUCCAGAGGUGCCCUGACACCUGAGAACCCACAUGUGCAGAGAGAAAAAGUUUCCUGUGGAUAUACCACCUCACCCUCUUGCACUCUGCAACAAUUGUGUCUUGUUGCUCUGGUGGGCCCAGGCAUCUUCCUGCACUCCCUCAGCUGUGGUACACAGCUCCCUAUCCCCCUCAGGCUAUUUCCACACAGCCAACCCUAGUCCUCUCCCCAGGACUGACCUCAGCACCUGGCCCGUCUUGAGAGUCUUAGGCUGUGGUGCACCUGGUGGUAGUUCUGAUCAUCUGUCCUGCUGUCUGUUCUGCACUCCUCAGGCCAGCUGAUGCACUCUUCUCUGAGGCUUUGAGGCCCCUCCAUCCUGGAUAAUCUUCUGCAACCCUUCCACCCUCAGUUAGGAGGCCUCCCAGUUGGCAGAUUCCUUUCCUCUUUCACAGCUCCCUCUCAGGAGUGCUGGUCCUGUCCUGAUUCCCUUUUUCUUUUCUUUUUCCUUUUGUUCUACCCAGUUAUGUGGAGGUUUUCAUGACCUUCUUGGAAGAUUUUGGUCUUCUGCCAUCCUUGAAUUCAUGUUCUAUGAGAAUCGUUCUACAUAUAGCUUUUUUUUUAAUGUUUGUGGGAAAAGAUAAGUUCCAUGUCUGCUCAUCUGCUAUCUUGAUCCUUUCCCUUCAUGGCAUUUUAUUCAUCCCCAAAUUAAUAAAAACACAGAUCUUAUUUCUUAUUCUUCUAUCCUCUCUUGCUCUAUCUCCCCUGUGGUUCUAGUGACUUUCUCACUAGACUUUGGACUUGGACAUGUGACUUGCUUUGAUGAAUUGUGGGUGGAAUGAUAGUGAGCUAGUUAGAAGCCUGGUGUAUUUCCACUCUUUGUUCAUGAAAAAAACAUGCCAUCUCCUUUGACCUCUACUUUUUUCCUUAGAUGACUUUAUCAACAGGGCAGAAGACUAUUUUUGAAACAAUCUGGACAAGUCAACUGUUAGUUUAUUAGAACAGACAAUAGACAAUACAGUUUUAAUCAGAGAGGAUACAUAUAGGGAAGAAGUCUGUUAUGGGUGACCUCACCUUCUUGUCAGAGUGAACUAGAAAAUGGAUAGGUGCUUAUUAACUCAGGAAAUCCAAUCUGACUGGCCAAACUGCCUUAUCUUGGCACAAGAGCUUUCUCUGACAGGGAUGAUUUUGAUGAAAUGAAUCAAAUCUCUUAAUAUGUUUGUAAGUUAUAGUGAAGCAGUAAACAACUGUAACAGAAGUGGAAUACCAAGUAGGAGCAGAAGCAGCCAGAGAGAAACAUGUUAAUGUCAGGUAUAAAAAUGAAGUUUAUCAGCUUUUCUGAAAAGGGCUGGGGUCAGGGCAACAUAUAAUGUGUUGCUAAAAGUACUAAAAGUACUGUGGAUUCUCAACAUCUUUGCAGCUACUGAAAUAGGUCCUAGUCUCCAUGAAGUCUGACUUUUAUGGAUUGCUGUUGCUGGAUCCUCUUAGAGCCUCAUUCUCUUAUUGCUGCACACAGAUUCACCAUACUGUUCCAUCACUUGAGGUCAUGUUCACCCCUCACAUUGUGUUGUGGGCAGAGACUCUAGCUAACACAGGUUCUAUUUGUACCCUUCCCUAUAACAGCUGCACGUUUUGACAUCUCAGAGCAUCAAAGAUUGCUUUUUAGGGACAGAAACCCAAGCUGCUUUACUUCCCUUCACUCCAUUCUUAGCAUUUAUUCUUGUAUACCUCCUUAUUUCUAAGAAAGCUUGGGCUGGUCUGGUGAUAAACAGAGGAGUAUAUGAGGUCAGUUGCAUCAUUUCUUCAAGACAAUUGGAACACAUCUAGAAUUGUUCUGCUGGCCUGGUUUCAGGAAGGCCUGUUCUGUUACUACAUUUCUUCUGAGCAGCCAUUUGGAUUUUUAAUAGAAUCAUCCUCAAGUCAGAGAUUCUUUCUCUCAUGGAAUGGAUAAUGCCCAGUGAGAGUUCCUUAGUGUGGGUAGGAACACUUUCAAUAAGACUCCCUAAAGCCCAUCAUACCUUUUAUUCAUUCAUCAUUGUUUUUGGUAUGAGUUUUUAGGCAACCACAAUGGGGAGUGGGUAUACAUUCAUAUCAGACAUGCUUUGCCAUGUCUUGAAUAUGAAAAUGUAGCAAAAUCAGAUGCCUCUUUUUUAAGGAGCUUAAAAAAUAUUCUUAGUGGAGAAAGUGAUUCAUAAUAUUUCUUGUCAGAGAUCCCUGUUUCCAAAACACACCUUAAUAUACCUCAAGAACAUAUGAUAUGUAUUUUUAAGAAACCUGCUUUAGGCAGUGUAAAUUAUACUCUUAUCUCUGAGGAUCAAGUAAUUAGGAAACUGGGACACAGUCUCAUUUGUCUUCCCAAAGAAACCUUGUAGAUUCUGUCCUCAUCUUUCUACUCAUCUAUUUUAACACUUAUUAUAUGCCAACCACUGCACUAAGUGCUUAAUAUGCAUCAAUUCAUUAUAUUACAUUGUAAUAUUGGUAGAUUUUUUGACUUUUAAAAAUGUAUCCUACAUGUUAUGCAUGUUAGUUAGGAACCAAAAAUAUAAUGAGUUAAAAAUUGCCAAAAUAGGAGUUCCCUUAUGGCACAGUUGGAUAAGGAUCCAAUGUUGUCACUGAAGUGGCUGGGGUGACUGUGGUGGCAUGGGUUUGACCCCUGGCCUGGAAACUUCCACAUGCCAUGGACGUGGCCAACCCCCCCUCCCAAACCCCCCUAAAACCCCACAAAAAUUUCCAAAAUGAAUGUCAUUCAUUGAAAAGAUUUCUACUUUAGCUCUUCUUGUAAAUUACUUUUAGGUGAGUACAAAGUCACAUUUGAAUGUAUUUUAAAUGUUUGUUAACCUUAUUGUAUGUAGGACUUUAAUGGCCAUAACAUAUUUUAAAAAUUAUCUUAAAUACAGGGCUUAUGGUAAAAAAUGUGUAACAAAAAUUAUCCAGAGUUCCCAUUGUGGCUCAGAAUAUUAAGGACCCAGCACAGUCUCCAUGAGGUUGCAAGUUUGAUCCCUGGCCUUGCUCAGUGGGUUAAGGAUCUGGCAUUUCCAUAAGCUGAGGUGUAGGUCAGGGAUGCAACUCAGAUCCACUGUUGUGUGGCUGUGGCCUGGGCCUCAGCUGCAGCUCCAAUUUUACCCCUAGCCUGAGAUCUCCCAUGUGCUUCAGGUGAGGUUG
rnacentral:lncRNA from 1 species